rnacentral:tRNA from 1 species
GUGGGGUUGUAGCUCAGUGGUAGAGCACUUGCCUAGCAUGUGUGAGGCACUGGGUUCGGUCCUCAGCACCACA